rnacentral:rRNA from 1 species
GAGUUUGAUCCUGGCUCAGGACGAACGCUGGCGGCGUGCUUAACACAUGCAAGUCUACGAGAACGAGGUAGCAAUAUCUUUAGUAAAGUGGCGCACGGGUGCGUAACACGUAAGCAAUCUACCUUUGGGUCUGGAAUAACUUCGAGAAAUCGAGGCUAAUACCGGAUAAUGCAGCGGCACCGCAUGGUGAUGUUGUUAAAGUUUAAGUAAUGCCUAUAGAUGAGCUUGCGUCUGAUUAGCUAGUUGGUAGGGUAAAGGCCUACCAAGGCUACGAUCAGUAGCUGGUCUGAGAGGAUGAUCAGCCACACUGGAACUGAGACACGGUCCAGACUCCUACGGGAGGCAGCAGUGAGGAAUAUUGGGCAAUGCCCGCAAGGGUGACCCAGCAACGCCGCGUGGAGGAUGAAGGCCGUAAGGUUGUAAACUCCUGUUAGAGGGGAAGAAUAGUACCGAUUGGAUCGGUAUUUGACUGUACCCUCAGAGAAAGCCCCGGCUAA